CUGGCCUCGGCCCCAACCCCGGCCCUGGCCCUGGCUCCGGCUCCGGCUCCGUCUCCGGCUCCGACCACGACCACCAGCGCUUCGGACACUACGCCAAUUACGAGCAGAUACAGCACCACCUGCGCGAGAAACGCCUGAGGGGCGCCGCUCUGCUCAGUCGACUGGAGCAAAAGUUCCGGGACGAGGCCAGGCGGCAGCACCAGGUGUACCACUCGCA